rnacentral:rRNA from 1 species
AAUAUUGGACAAUGGGCGAAAGCCUGAUCCAGCCAUGCCGCGUGUGUGAAGAAGGUCUUCGGAUUGUAAAGCACUUUAAGUUGGGAGGAAGGGCAGUAAGUUAAUACCUUGCUGUUUUGACGUUACCGACAGAAUAAGCACCGGCUAACUUCGUGCCAGCAGCCGCGGUAAUAGAAAGGGUGCAAGCGUUAAUCGGAAUUACUGGGCGUAAAGCCGGCGUAGUUGGUUGUUUAAGUUGAAGGGGAAGGCCCGGGGUCUACCCUGGGAACGGCUUUCAAAACGGCAGGGUUGAGUUAGGCAGGGGGUUGGGGGAUUUUCUGUGGAGGGGGUGAAAGGGUAGGUUAUAGGAAGGAACACAAGUGCCGAAGGCGACCACCUGGCUUAUUACUAAACCGGGGGUGCAAAAGCGUGGGGGGCAACC